rfam:Babjeviella inositovora NRRL Y-12698 unplaced genomic scaffold BABINscaffold_21, whole genome shotgun sequence.
GCCCACUUACUCUUAAUGGUAAAGGAUAGCCCUUCUAAAGCUUAUAAUCCAGGUUCGAGUCCUGGAGUGGGUU